CCGUAGUUUUAAUCCGAUUUUGAUGUUUGCUUUUCAGCGGAGUUGAGGCCUAUCGGAGUUGAUUGUGGGACAUAGUAAUAGGUGGGUUUGACCUAACCAGAGCAAGUGAAGCUCCCCUAUGUUCUAUAUGUACCUAUAGAAUUACCGCAUAGGUGCAUUUAGUGAUUAUGUGAUUGAUAGAGAAUUUGGAACAUGGCACCGUAAUGUUUGAUGCUUAAGUAGAAUGAAAUCUCUAUAAAGUAGAGAACGUAUAUACAUGAAAGUAUUUAUAUUUAUAUUCAAUUCAGUUGAAUAAUUAUGAACAAGUGUAGGAUGCACUUAUAAAGUAGAGAACAAUGACAUUCUUUUGACUCUAAAGUAGAGAACUAUGACAUACUUUGUGACUAUAUUGGUAGUGCCAUGAUAGUGAAAAGAUUCUAAUGCCAGGUGUAGAUGAGCAUUACUCUUGCAUGCUUACUAAACUAGUGGAUUCUAGUUGUUGUUACUAUUUGUUAUAUUGAAAUUUCCGAUCGAGGAUUGAGACUGAGAACAUUACAAAUGAAAACAUGAUAAUUGAGACAUGUGGACAGUGGAAUAUGCUUGCUUGCCAUCGUGCUCAUUCGCACACGCUUGUGAGGGUCGCUCCCUACAAGCCGGCACUCCGGAGUUGGCCUACGCGACAGUUGCUCGCCCGUGCGGGAUUGGGUGCCGAAGUGGAUUGCCGUGGGGAGUGUAUACUACCACGGGGCCAUUAGGCGCGGCGCAAGCUGGACUACCUGGUGUAGGUCCUGAUAUAUGAAAAAGGAAAACUCUAAAUGAGACUAAGUGCUAAAUGACAUUUGACAGUAAUGAAUGCUUACCAGUUACAGUGUACAGUAGUUACUUACACAUUCGUGCUUAUGUUUAUAUUUAUAUUCAUUACUGUAGAAAACUAUUACAUGCUGAUUACAUGUUCAUUACUUGUUAGCAUCAUGCUUAUAGAUCAUGCAAUUAUCGUUUUUGCUUUCAUUUAGUACAUUAUGAGCCUAGUGGUGUAAUUCGCCGAGGCUGGCGGCUUACCCACUGGGAACUAUUGUUAAUAGUUCUCACGCCCUUUUGGUGGUUGUUUUUACAGAGCCAUCUACAGGAGAGGCUAGGGAUGGUGGCAAGGGAGUCACGUCUAGCUAGACAUUGCUAGGAGCAUGCUAGUCGAUCACCUUGCUACUCGGGCUACGGCCGAGGGUGAUGUCCCUAUGUAUAGAGAGACCACCAUUGUACCUAUUCU
rnacentral:lncRNA from 1 species